UUGUUGGAGAGUUUGAUCCUGGCUCAGGACGAACGCUGGCGGCGUACUUAACACAUGCAAGUCGUACGGUGAAGCUUCUUCGGGGGUGGAUCAGUGGCGAACGGGUGAGUAACACGUAAGUAACCUGCCCUUUUCUUGGGGAUAACUCGCGGAAACGUGGGCUAAUACCCGAUAUUCACGUGUCUCUGCAUGGGGGUGUGUGGAAAGGCUCGGGGUCUUUAGGGGCUUUGUGGACUGGGAAGGGAUGGGCUUGCGGCCUAUCA
rnacentral:rRNA from 1 species